rnacentral:rRNA from 1 species
UACGAAGGGGGCGAGCGUUGUUCGGAAUUACUGGGCGUAAAGGGCGCGCAGGCGGCUCAGACAGUCAGAUGUGAAAGCCCCGGGCUUAACCUGGGAACUGCAUUUGAUACUACUGAGCUUGAGUACGGGAGAGGAUAGUGGAAUUCCCAGUGUAGAGGUGAAAUUCGUAGAUAUUGGGAAGAACACCAGUGGCGAAGGCGGCUCACUGGCUCGUAACUGACGCUCAUGCACGACAGCGUGGGGAUCAAACAGG